GCCUAAAUAGUUUAAAUCAAAACAUCAAUUUUGUAGUUUGAAAAUGGUUAUCGUACCUUUAGGCA
rnacentral:tRNA from 1 species